AGGCUGUGUAAGUCCCAUGUCAGGAAGAUGUAACUAGGAAAUUAACUGCUCAAUUCUAUGCCAUUUAAUUGUCAGACUGCAGAAGCCUAAUCUAUACAACAAAACCACUUUAUUAAAGGACCACUCCACAUUUGAAGAAAGUUUAGUAGAUAUACCCCAAUGAACACAUGCAUAUAUAUUUUUAUGUAUGUAUUCAUUGGUCGUAUAGUGUAAAAUCGCUUGCAAAACCUGCAGUUUUUAUGACUGCAUCCUUUAUAAGCCCUCCCUUUUUUCACAGGAAGUGACUUUAAUUCACUUUAGAUAAUUGUCCAAUC